CCUACGGGAGGCAGCAGUGGGGAAUAUUGCACAAUGGGGGAAACCCUGAUGCAGCGACGCCGCGUGAGUGAAGAAGUAUUUCGGUAUGUAAAGCUCUAUCAGCAGGGAAGAAAAUGACGGUAACUGUUUAAGAAGCCCCGGCUAACUACGUACCAUAAGCCGCGGUAAUACGUAGGGGGCAAGCGUUAUCCGGAUUUACUGGGGGUAAAGGGAGUGUAGACGGUGAUAGAAGUCAGAAGUGAAAGCCCGGGGCUCAAAGCCGGGACUGCUUUUGAAACCGGGUGACUGGAGUGCAGGAGAGGUAAGCGGAAUUCCUGGUGUAGCGGUGAAAUGCAUAGAUAUCAGGAGGAACACCAGUGGCGAAAGCGGCUUACUGGCCUGUAACUGACGUUGAGGCUCGAAAGCGUGGGUAGCAAACAGGAUUAGAUACCCCUGUAGUC
rnacentral:rRNA from 1 species